AUGCUCAAAUCCCUGCAGUCCCGACGUCACCUCGCCGGGCACGCCCAGGCACCGCGCCACCUGCUUGUAGUUGUGAAUCCCGGGAAGCACGGGGUCCAGCCUCCAGUGACGGGGGCAGAUCAGCAAGAAGGACUCCUGGAAGAGAGCAAAAGAAAGCAUGUAGCAGAGACAGCUUCUCAUGGACAAAAUCUCUCCGACGACAAGGAAUCAAGAGUACUGGAAACGUCCACUGCCACGGUGGAUGGAAAUCGAUCUCCCUGCAGAGCAGUACCCACAAUUUACCACACUUGCAGGAAUCUUCUUUUUUUAUUCUACGGCGAGUAGAACGCAUUUUAAGUCCUCUGAAGACCACAAUCAUUUUCAGACCACACAUUCCACAAGAUUAUUAUCGCACUUCUGGGGUAAAGCUGACCUCUGAGCGAAUACAGGUACUGUGAGGUGUGAGUGUCUGUCUAUCUGUCGUAAAGUUAUUCUGUCCACGUCAUUAACAAAGGGCUCAUUACCACAGCGAAGUGAUGGUGACAGCCAGGGACACGGCCCCAGCUGCAGCUGCUCUCCACCCCUCUGCCUCUCUCCCAUUCCAUCUCUCCCGUCCUGGCGCAGACUUGGAGCUCUGAGCUGCUCUCGGGCUGGGGAGAGGAGUAGAGGUCCGAGCAAUCGUGGAAGUCCAGCUCGGUGCACUCUACUGGAGCGUGGUGCCACAGGGGACCCGACCCAUCUGAAGCACAGUGGAGCCCCUCGCUGCAAGGCACGGUGGCACUGGUCUCACUGUCAGUUGUGGGCAGUCCAGUGGAAUGCUGGGAUACAAACCCAGAUGAACAGUCGCUGCAGACAGAGCAACGCGGGGGUCCUGAUACACCGACCUGAGAGUCUGAAGCUGCUGCUGUGAAGACUGGGAGGCCACAACGUAGAUCACCUGGUUUCUCACCUGGAAGAGGUUAAAAAUUAUGUCAUUACUGUACUAUAAAUACCAUAAUUCUCCAAGUAAUUAACAAAUUAAUGAAAUAAUGUUACUAGGU
ensembl:lncRNA